UACGUAGGGGGCUAGCGUUGUCCGGAAUCAUUGGGCGUAAAGCGCGCGUAGGCGGUCAGGUAAGUCCGGUGUGAAAGUCAAAGGCUCAACCUUUGAAUGCCGCUGGAUACUGCCUGACUUGAGUCCGGAAGGGGCGAGUGGAAUUCCUGGUGUAGCGGUGAAAUGCGCAGAUAUCGGGAGGAACACCUAUGGCGAAGGCAGCUCGCUGGGACGUUACUGACGCUGAGACGCGAAAGCGUGGGGAGCAAACAGG
rnacentral:rRNA from 1 species